CCUCUGUUCUCCUGGUCACCAGAAUUGAUGCAAACGUCUGCCAAAUACCACUGACACUUAAUAUACUCAGAUCGUGAAGAAGAAUUUAAUCCUCACAAUAACUCAUCUUUUCACUCUCAGCCUCUGGCUCUCCUAUUUGGGGAAGAGAAAUAUUCAGCAAGGCUGGUCAGAGAGGUUGGCUCAGUAUCCAGUUCCAGUCCCUGAGGUGGGCGCUAAUGGGUCUUUAAGUAUAGAGCUUUCUUUUAUCUCCAGUGGCUGA
rnacentral:lncRNA from 1 species